rnacentral:rRNA from 1 species
CGGUGUUUAACUGGCGUGAUGUGGGACGUCCUACCGGUGGGCUUAGCCUCGCGAGGGGCGGCCCAACUAAUAUCCCGUCGCGGUGCUCUUUACUGAGUGUCGAGUCGGGCCGGUACGUUUACUUUGAACAAAUUAGAGUGCUUAAAGCAGGCUAUCCUCGCCUGAAUACUGCGUGCAUGGAAUAAUGGAAUAGGACCUCGGUUCUAUUUUGUUGGUUUUCGGAACCCCGAGGUAAUGAUUAAUAGGGACAGAUGGGGGCAUUCGUAUUGCGACGUUAGAGGUGAAAUUCUUGGAUCGUCGCAAGACGGACAGAAGCGAAAGCAUUUGCCAAAAAUGUUUUCAUUAAUCAAGAACGAAAGUUAGAGGUUCGAAGGCGAUCAGAUACCGCCCUAGUUCUAACCAUAAACGAUGCCAGCUAGCGAUCCGCCGAAGUUCCUCCGAUGACUCGGCGGGCAGCUUCCGGGAAACCAAAGCUUUUGGGUUCCGGGGGAAGUAUGGUUGCAAAGCUGAAACUUAAAGGAAUUGACGGAAGGGUACCACCAGGAGUGGAGCCUGCGGCUUAAUUUGACUCAACACGGGAAACCUCACCAGGCCCAGACACCGGAAGGAUUGACAGAUUGAUAGCUCUUUCUUGAUUCGGUGGGUGGUGGUGCAUGGCCGUUCUUAGUUGGUGGAGCGAUUUGUCUGGUUAAUUCCGAUAACGAACGAGACUCUAGCCUGCUAAAUAGGCGUACCUUAUGGUAUCGCGAAGGCCCCCGGCUUCGGCCGGUGGGUUUUUACUACCAACGUACAAACAAAUCUUCUUAGAGGGACAGGCGG